AGCGCAGAGAAAUCCGCAAAUAAAGAGCGGGCGGGAGCGGCGCCGCCGAGAGAGAGCCCGGGCGGGAGAAGGCAGGGGGGACGGCGACGCGGCGGCAGAAGCAGCAGCGACAGCGACGACGACGAGAACGACCGCGGCUCCGGAGCGGCGGUUCCUCCCCUCCCCAAGAGCCGGUUUGCGGGCGCGGAGGUGGCGGCAGGCGUGAGCGGUGGCGGCGCUUCGCCCUCGAUGUGACGGGCGCGGCGCGGGCAGCGAUCGUGCGGGGAGAGCGCGGCCUCCGCUCCGCGGGUGGGAGAGUUCACAAUGACGAAUGAGGAACCUCUCCCAAAGAAGGUUCGCCUUAGUGAAGCAGAUUUUAAGGUUUUACCUAGGGACGAGCUCAUUCUAAGGUGGAAACAGUAUGAAGCAUACGUGCAAGCUCUGGAGGGCAAGUACACAGAUCUUAAUUCUAACGAUGUGACGGGAUUGAGAGAAUCUGAAGAGAAGCUGAAACAGCAGCAGCAAGAGUCUGCACGAAGAGAAAAUAUUCUGGUGAUGAGGCUGGCAACUAAGGAACAGGAGAUGCAGGAGUGUACUAAUCAGAUUCAGUACCUCAAGCAAGUCCAGCAGCCUAGUGUUGCACAACUGCGAUCAACAAUGGUGGACCCAGCCAUCAACUUGUUUUUCCUAAAAAUGAAAGGUGAACUGGAACAGACUAAAGACAAACUGGAACAAGCCCAAAAUGAACUGAGUGCCUGGAAAUUUACGCCUGAUAGGUAAACAAAACAAAUACUCCCCAGUCAAGACUUCCCUGACAGUCCCACUACGAGAAUGCUAUGGUGGGACAGCCAAGUACUCGUUUCCACACCAAGACUCAGACGUUUUGAGGCAAAAAGCCACAUUCUUAUACUGUCCAGCUUGUAAUGAUUAAUGUAAAACUUACCAGAUGAACCUUGUGUUUCAGCUUUUUUCUCCCCCUUUGCUUCAGAGGCCUGAUGGCGUCGGACUAUUCUGAAGAAAUGGCCAUCUUCGAAAAAAAAUCUUUUCUAGAACAUGUAGACAUUUGCAAAAUUUUUCUAUUUGAAGAAAAUAGAGGGAGAAACAGAAGUCUUAAGUCUGUGGCACACUGUGUCUACAGACAAUUUGGAGGAGAGAACCUAGAGAUUAUAAAUAAUGAAUUGAACAUGUAAAAUUCUCGUAAAAUGUAGAAGUGGAAUAUGCUUCACUCUUAACCUUGAGCCUAGUGACUUAGAGACACUGUAAGUCAGUUUUGCCAAUAAGACUGUGGACUUCCUGCUUGUUCACUGAACUGCUGGGUCAAAACUCAAUGAGGUGAAUUUUGCAUUAAAGAGUUUACUUGCUAACCACUUUUGAAUAGCCAUGAGAGUGCCACUUGAUAUCACAGGAGUGGCAGUGCACACAUUUGACUGUUGAGCCUCUGGGCUUUCUAGCACUUGACGGAGCCUUAAGUCAGUGUUGCUAAAUAAUGAACUGUUUUCUGAAUGGUUGGUAAUACAUGGACGCCUCAAAAUUAGGACUGUACAAAAAUGUACAUUCUAUCUAAUUGCAGGUUUAAAAUUGUUGGAAGCAAUAUAUAUUUGAUCACAACUAGCAUGUAUGAGAAACUGGUUGUGAUAACUAUUUCACUGCAUGUUUUCAUGCAGAAAUGAGAGGUUUUCGAUCUUCUAUACUAAGAACUGAUCUCAAAUGCUCAAUGCAGAAGGCACACAAUGAAUGGCACCUGUCUUCAGUGUUGGUGGGGUGUUUUUAUUCCUUUGUACACCUGUUUUUUUUGUAUUGCACUUCAAUAUAAAAUGUGCCUUGGAAUAGUUGUAAUACACAGGUCAAGGAAGACUGCUGGUUAUACUGUUGUAUUGUGAAACUCCUGGGAUGAACGAGAAUUGAACAGGUUGUUAUUUCUGCAUUGUCUCGUUCUCUGAAAACAAAGUCAGUAUUUUAACAAACAAAAAAAAAACAACCUUAAAUGCACGCAUUUUCCUUGGUGGAAUCAGUGAAGGAGCCUUUGCUACCCUAUUGAUGCCUCUGUUUCGUUGUCCCAAGUUACUUGUAAGAGUAGCUAUCUGGGACACUUGGGAGUGCAUGUCUGAGGUGUGUAAAGUGAAAUGCAGAUUUGGUGGAGCAUUUUGUGUGUUUACUUUCUUUAGUAAAUGGAGUUCUAUUUAGUAAUGAGAUUUUGAUUUUCAAAACAGUUGGGCAAGAUUUUAUGACUCAGUCUGAUUCUAGAAAAUUCAGUUUUAAAUGAAAAACCCACAUCCAGCUGUCAUAGAAGGUGAUGUAUUAUAACUGUUUUGGUAACUUUUAUUAAGAUGGCAUUACGUUUUUUAACUCUGAAGUAUUUUAACUGUUUGUGCUACCCAUGAUAUGGCGUUCAAGAGUAGUGCACUUCUGCAGGUUUAUUUUGUUUGCGUAAGUAAUGACUUAACAGCAAAAGAAAAACCUACAGAAAAACUUUACGUUUUUAAGUGAUACAUCUGGAUUGAUUUUGCUAUAGCACUAAGAUUUUAAUGAUCUAGCAUCAGAACAGAGGUAAGACUUGCAUUAAUAAAUGGUUAAUGUGUUACCAAGCCAUUUGUAAAGCUCGCUAUAAUGUGCAGAUAGAGGCAUGCUGUGCAGAUUCUUUGUUUAACUUGGAGUUCAGAAAAUUAUUUCAUAUACUUAGAUACAGGCUGGUUGGUUUUUUAAGUCCUCAGGCUCUAAAUGUACAUGUACAACUGAGGAGAGAUAAAUAACUUAGCGCUUUCUUUGAAGCAAAAGUAUCAAAAGAGAAUUUCAUUAUUUUGGUAGGUACAACGUGCCCCGAUAUGCAUCAUAUAAUUUGAAGUCAGUGGUGUGAAUGUGCAUAAUUCAUAUAUGAAGUAGUUGGAAUACAGAAAAUUAAGAGUUAUUUCCUGGUAAAGAAUGGAGGCUAUCUUCAUUAACUGGGUUAAGGUUUUAUUGCUUUUAUUUCUGGAAAGGUAAAGAAAUGAUGACUCAUGUAAAGUAUGUGUAGGCUUUUUCAUUCUCUUUGCAUCCUGCUCCUGCCUUUUAAUUGCUAUAAUUGUCCAUCUUUGUGUGCAGCUAUUCUUAUUUCUUAGCAUCUGACCUAGUUUUAGAAAUAGAUGAUGCUCCUAUUCAGAUCUCUAACUGGUGUUCUUAGAGUAGCAUGUUAACUGCAACCCUAGGCAGUUAUUAGUUCUGGGACUUAACCAUAGAUAAGGAUGUACAGCACAAUCCCUUCUGAUGCCUGGAGGGAGAAGUAGAAGCCAUUUCAACCAUCAUUAAAUAGUGUACGCUUGGAUUAAAAAUUAGUCGAAAUGUCACUUGCAGUAAGCCUAGUACAACAAACACUAGUCUCCUGGAAUUUAACCACUUACAUUCUUACAGGUUCUGGUGCUUUUGUGUUCAAGAGGAUAUGUGAAAACAAUGCCAAACUUAGUUUUACAGCUAACAUGAGUAUUUUAAUAGUUGCUGGAUUUUAUAUUCUUGCAUGUGUUGUCUUUUUUGUAAAUUGCAAGGGGAGGUUGGUGCCGUACUAGUUCUGAACAUCUGGAAAAUUUUUGAUGGGAAGAAAUAGCAUUAUAGGUAACUAUGCAAAUUUCUAUACAGGUAAUAAAUACGUUUUGGCAGGAGUUAACAUGAAGACAUUAAUGGGAUUCUAAAAUUGUCCCAAUUCCAAGGUAACUGGUACUUGCUAAUUCUACAGUUGACACUGUUUUGUGAAGAGAAAAGAAUUAAACGAUUUAAGCACUGUGAACUUCUUCAACUUGCAGUGAUGAUGAAUACAGUAACAGAAAUUUGGAAAUGGCUAAAAAUCUUUGCAUGUCUGCCUAAAAACUUUGGAGAUAAUCAAUGUGACGUCUCCCAAAAGUGGUCCUGCUUUACACAGAACGAACAUCUCUAAGGAAACUUGCAUCUUAAGUGUGCGACUUGGACUGUAUUAGGUCAGCACAAUUUAAACUUCAAGGACCUGGCAUUGGACAUCACAUCAAGAAAGAAAACGGGUUGCUGCCUUUAGCAGAGUUUCAGGCUUCCAGGACUUUACUCAGCCAGAUUCCUUCUGGAGCAGCCCAUCUGAAAGAUUUGGGAGAGUCAGUUGGAAAAUGUUAAAUGGGGCAGAGCUGGCAGAACAUAAAAGUUGUCUAAGUCUUGAAUGGUUAAAAGCCAAACAGGCAAAAAAUUAAUGGCGAAGUGUCGAAUGCUUAUCCAGGAGAAUCAAGAGCUUGGAAGGCAGCUGUCCCAAGGACGUAUUGCUCAGCUUGAGGCAGAGUUGGCUUUACAGAAGAAAUAUAGUGAGGAAC